ensembl:snRNA U2 U2 spliceosomal RNA
AUCGCUUCUCGGCCUUUUGGCUAAGAUCAAGUGUAGUAUCUGUUCUUAUCAGUUUAAUAUCUGAUACGUCCCCUACCCGGGGACCAUAUAUUAAAUUGAUUUUUGGAACUGGGAGAUGGAAUAGUAUGGAGGACCAAACCUGCCAUAUUUAUAAAUGAAUGAAUGAAUAAAUAAAUGUCCACAUCCAUGCAUUUAGACAGA